rfam:Paludibacter propionicigenes WB4, complete genome.
ACAGCGUAACCUGAAAAGCUGCAAAAGAGUAAGGA